rnacentral:tRNA from 1 species
GGGCAGGUGGCGGAACUGGUAUACGCGUUAGCCUUAGGAGCUAAUGGGGUAACCCUUGGGAGUUCGAGUCUCCCCCUGCCCACCA